GAUGAACGCUGGCGGCGUGCCUAAUACAUGCAAGUCGAGCGAACGGACGGGAAGCUUGCUUCUCUGAUGUUAGCGGCGGACGGGUGAGUAACACGUGGAUAACCUACCUAUAAGACUGGGAUAACUUCGGGAAACCGGAGCUAAUACCGGAUAAUAUUUUGAACCGCAUGGUUCAAAAGUGAAAGACGGUCUUGCUGUCACUUAUAGAUGGAUCCGCGCUGCAUUAGCUAGUUGGUAAGGUAAUGGCUUACCAAGGCAACGAUGCAUAGCCGACCUGAGAGGGUGAUCGGCCACACUGGAACUGAGACACGGUCCAGACUCCUACGGGAGGCAGCAGUAGGGAAUCUUCCGCAAUGGGCGAAAGCCUGACGGAGCAACGCCGCGUGAGUGAUGAAGGUCUUCGGAUCGUAAAACUCUGUUAUUAGGGAAGAACAUAUGUGUAAGUAACUGUGCACAUCAUGACGGUACCUAAUCAGAAAGCCACGGCUAACUACGUG
rnacentral:rRNA from 1 species